rnacentral:lncRNA from 1 species
UAUAGAAGUGGAAAGUGACAACGUCUUCAAAUUAGCUGCAAAUGCUCUGCAGGAGGCGAAGGGAGACUACGCAAGUGAUGAAAACACGAGAGCUGACUUGAAGAAACUCCCGACUCUUCCCACCAAGGUCCUCAAGGAACACCCAUCACUUGCAUACUGGUACGCUUGCAGGACAGCUUAUUUGAGAUAUUACCUGCACUAAUGCCUCAGAAAUAAAAAUAAAAUAAAAAAAGCACGCUGCUAAAAUGCAUCCACACAGAAUGGUUUGCUCUGGUGCUGUACGUCAGGUUGAAGCGUACCAAGGUGUCUUCUUUGUUGGACAUUGCAGUGAGGAUCGAGUAAUUGAACAUUACAAACAGCGGAAAGGAGUCUCCCGAGGACAGGCCAUUGUGCAGUAUUUGACAUUAGUGGAAUCCUUGCCCACGUAUGGCGUGCAUUAUUAUGAAGUGAAG